rnacentral:rRNA from 1 species
GAUGAACGCUAGCUACAGGCUUAACACAUGCAAGUCGAGGGGCAGCGGGAUUGAAGCUUGCUUCAAUUGCCGGCGACCGGCGCACGGGUGAGUAACGCGUAUCCAACCUUCCGUACACUCAGGGAUAGCCUUUCGAAAGAAAGAUUAAUACCUGAUGGUAUGAUGAGAUUGCAUGAUAUCAUCAUUAAAGAUUUAUCGGUGUACGAUGGGGAUGCGUUCCAUUAGGUAGUAGGCGGGGUAACGGCCCACCUAGCCAACGAUGGAUAGGGGUUCUGAGAGGAAGGUCCCCCACAGUGGAACUGAGACACGGUCCAAACUCCUACGGGAGGCAGCAGUGAGGAAUAUUGGUCAAUGGACGAGAGUCUGAACCAGCCAAGUAGCGUGAAGGAUGAAGGUCCUACGGAUUGUAAACUUCUUUUAUAAGGGAAUAAACCCUCCCACGUGUGGGAGCUUGUAUGUACCUUAUGAAUAAGCAUCGGCUAACUCCGUG